GACGAACCGUGCAAACGUUAUUCGGAAUUACUGGGCGUAAAGGGCUCGUAGGCGGCCAACUAAGUCGGAUGUGAAAUCCCCAGGCUUAACCUGGGAACUGCAUCCGAUACUGGAUGGCUUGAAUCCGGGAGAGGGAUGCGGAAUUCCAGGUGUAGCGGUGAAAUGCGUAGAUAUCUGGAGGAACACCGGUGGCGAAGGCGGCAUCCUGGACCGGCAUUGACGCUGAGGAGCGAAAGCCAGGGGAGCAAACGGG
rnacentral:rRNA from 1 species